rnacentral:rRNA from 1 species
UACGUAGGGCGCAAGCGUUAUCCGGAAUUAUUGGGCGUAAAGAGCUCGUAGGCGGUUUUGUCGCGUCUGCCGUGAAAGUCCGGGGCUCAACUCCGGAUCUGCGGUGGGUACGGGCAGACUAGAGUGAUGUAGGGGGAGACUGGAAUUCCUGGUGUAGCGGUGGAAUGCGCAGAUAUCAGGAGGAAUACCGAUGGCGAAGGCAGAUCUCUGGGCCUAACUGACGCUGAGGAGCGAAAGCAUGGGGGAGCGAACAGG